UACAGAGGGUGCGAGCGUUGUCCGGAAUCACUGGGCGUAAAGGGUGCGUAGGUGGCUCGUUAAGCGUGUGGUGAAAGCCUGGGGCUCAACCCCAGGUCUGCCGUGCGAACUGGCGAGCUUGAGCAUAGUAGAGGCAGGCGGAAUUCCGGGUGUAGCGGUGGAAUGCGUAGAUAUCCGGAAGAACACCGGAGGCGAAGGCGGCUUGCUGGGCUCGGUCGUGACGCUGAGGCGCGAAAGCGUGGGGAGCGAACAGG
rnacentral:rRNA from 1 species